rnacentral:rRNA from 2 species
UAAUUGAAGAGUUUGAUCAUGGCUCAGAUUGAACGCUGGCGGCAGGCCUAACACAUGCAAGUCGAGCGGCAGCACAGAGGAACUUGUUCCUUGGGUGGCGAGCGGCGGACGGGUGAGUAAUGCCUGGGAAAUUGCCCGGUAGA